rnacentral:lncRNA from 1 species
ACGCCGUAGUCCGGCCAGCCGAAGUACUGGAAGUGCUGCACCGUACGCUGUGGCUCCUCCUGAGCGGGGCAAGCGCUACCUAAGAGGGAAGGGCCCGCUGUCCUGUGAUCACGUGACUUGCUUCACCUUGUCAAUCACUUAGAAGACUGACCCUCCUUAUCCUGCCCCCUUGUCUUGUAUGCAAUAAAUAUCAGCGAGCCCAGCCGUUCAGGGCCACUACCGGUCUCCGUGUCUUUGUGGUAGUGGUCCCCGGGGCCCAGCUGUUUUCUCUUUAUCUCUUUGUCUUGUGUCUUUAUUUAUUACAAUCUCUCAUCUCCACACACGGGGAGAACACCUGCUAAGCUCCGUAGGGCUGGACCCUACAGUCCCAGACCCUGCGCUCCCAUCGGGCACUUGCCCCAGCCCCAGGGGACAGAGUCUGAAGGUGACAGCGG